GAUGAACGCUGGCGGCGUGCUUAACACAUGCAAGUCGAACGGGAAGGCGCUGCUUUUGCGUGGUGCCCGAGUGGCGAACGGGUGGGUACCAAGUGAGUAACCUGCCCUUGACAAUGGGAUAAAUUCAGGAAACUGGGACUAAUAAAGGACUGGUACUCCUGCUGAAUGGUGGGGGUCGGAAAGGUUCGGCGGUAGGGGAUGGAGUCGCGGCUUAUCAGCUUGCUGGGGGGGUAGUGGCUUACCAAGCCUUUGCCGGGUAGGCGGCCUGAUAGGGUGGGAGGCCACGUUGGAUCUGAGAUGAGACACAGACUCCAACGGGAGGCAACAGUGGGGAAGAGUGCACUACGGGCGGAGGCCUGAUGCAGCAAAGCCGCGUGCGGGAUGACGGCAUUCGGGUCGGAAACCGCAUUCGCCUGUGAAGAAGCGUGAGUGACGGUAAUGGGUAAAGAAGCACCGGCUAACUACGUG
rnacentral:rRNA from 1 species